rnacentral:rRNA from 1 species
UACGAAGGGGACUAGCGUUGUUCGGAAUCACUGGGCGUAAAGCGCACGUAGGCGGAUCUUUAAGUCAGGGGUGAAAUCCUGGAGCUCAACUCCAGAACUGCCUUUGAUACUGGGGAUCUCGAGUCCGGAAGAGGUGAGUGGAACUCCGAGUGUAGAGGUGAAAUUCGUAGAUAUUCGGAAGAACACCAGUGGCGAAGGCGGCUCACUGGUCCGGUACUGACGCUGAGGUGCGAAAGCGUGGGGAGCAAACAGG